rnacentral:rRNA from 1 species
GAGCGGGAAAGUCCUUCGGGAUGAGUACAGCGGCGGACGGGUGAGCAACGCGUGAGAACCUGCCCUUCAGUGAAGAACACCCCCGGGAAACUGGGGUUAAUACUGCAUACGUCCCUGCGGGGAGAAAGGUGGCUUUAUGCUGCCGCUGAAGAAUGGGCUUGCGUGCUAUUAGCUAGUUGGGGAGGUAACGGCUCACCAAGGCGAUGAUGGCUAACCGGCCUGAGAGGGUGUACGGUCACAUUGGAACUGAGAUACGGUCCAGACUCCUACGGGAGGCAGCAGUGAGGAAUAUUGCGCAAUGGGCGAAAGCCUGACGCAGCGACGCCGCGUGAAGGAUGAAGGUCUUCGGAUUGUAAACUUCUGUUAAGUGGGAAGAAAGGCUGGAGUUUAAUAGAUUCCAGAAAUGACGGUACCACUAGAGAAAGCACCGGCUAACUUCGUGCCAGCAGCCGCGGUAAUACGAAGGGUGCUAGCGUUAUUCGGAAUUAUUGGGCGUAAAGGGCGCGUAGACGGUGUGCCAAGUCUGUUGCUAAAUUUCCCGGCUUAACCGGGAGCACGUGGCGGAAACUGGCAUGCUUGAGGGUGGAAGAGAAAAGUGGAAUUCUCGGAGUAGCGGUAAAAUGCGUANAUCUCNAGAGGAACACCAAUGGCGAAGGCAGCUUUUUGGUCCACAUCUGACGUUGAGGCGCGAAAGCGUGGGGAGCAAACAGGAUUAGAUACCCUGGUAGUCCACGCUGUAAACUAUGAUCACUAGACGUUACUCUGGCUUAGCUGGGGUAGUGUCGAAGCUAACGCGUUAAGUGAUCCGCCUGGGGAGUACGGUCGCAAGGCUAAAACUU